UUUGAAGGCUCUUUCAAACUCUUCAAUCGAUAAGUCUAAGAAUAAGUCAUGGGAAGAAAGUAAAUUAUUUGAAGUUGUCAAAAAAUCAUUAAAGGAAAUAUUUGUAGAUGGAAUCCUAUCAGCCAACCUACUUCCGAUAUCAGUUAUUUCGGAAACGGGAAAAUUCGCAUCGUACACCGAGAAGAAUGUAUUAAAGAACUUAUUAUAGAUUACAUUUAUGUCUUCAUUAAAAUUUAUAUGCUU